UCUCUUGUGCUCGGGCAUGUACUGUCGCCAGUGAAGUUCUUACUGAGGCACAGUCUUUCUGCUGGUUGCAAAUUAAACAUCCUACUCGUCUGUUUGCUUCGGCUCUCAGCAAUUUUUGGAAAGCCAUUCUGC
rfam:Laccaria bicolor S238N-H82 LACBIscaffold_6 genomic scaffold, whole genome shotgun sequence.